CGCACAUUGCGCCUCCUGGUAUGCCAGGAGGCAUACCUGCUCGAGCGUCAUUGCCUCUCUCAAGCUGAGCUUGAAUUUGGAUUGGCAUUCCCCCGGGGGGGUGCAUCCCAAAAUCAUUGGCGGCUUUGGUGCGUUUUCCAAGCGUAGUAAAUAAGUCUCCCGCUUGGAAACGUCUGCACCGCGCCGGCCAUCACUUUCUGCCCUGAAAAUUGACCUCGGAUCAGGUAGGGAUACCCGCUGAACUUAA
rnacentral:misc_RNA from 1 species